ACAGAUUCCUGGGCUCUUUUGUAACUUUCAGGGUCAGAAGAACGAUGUUUAAUAAAUAUCUGCGGAAGAAGCUUCAUAUUUGUCCAGAAGAAUGAAGAUAAUUCAAAAGGCCUCUGAAAGAGGCUCUGCAACAGGGAUAACAGACAAAUGGCUACACUUCCUCCUUCCAUACUCACUACUGUAUCCAGACUGAAGUGGGCCUGUAAGAGGAAAUUCUGGAACCAACAUCAUGCAUAUGUACCAUCAUAACUCCAUUUCCUGGCACAUGAAUCAAUGGAGAGAUGAAUACAUGAAUAAAUAAGAU